rnacentral:rRNA from 1 species
GACGAACGCUGGCGGCGUGCCUAAUACAUGCAAGUCGAACGAGAGCGACCGGUGCUUGCACUGGUCAAUCUAGUGGCGAACGGGUGAGUAACACGUGGGUAACCUGCCCAUCAGAGGGGGAUAACAUCCGGAAACGGCUGCUAAAACCGCAUAGGUCUUCGAACCGCAUGGUUUGAAGAGGAAAAGAGGCGCAAGCUUCUGCUGAUGGAUGGACCCGCGGUGCAUUAGCUAGUUGGUGAGGUAACGGCUCACCAAGGCCGUGAUGCAUAGCCGACCUGAGAGGGUGAUCGGCCACAUUGGGACUGAGACACGGCCCAAACUCCUACGGGAGGCAGCAGUAGGGAAUCUUCCGCAAUGGACGCAAGUCUGACGGAGCAACGCCGCGUGAGUGAAGAAGGUGUUCGGAUCGUAAAACUCUGUUGUUAGAGAAGAACAAGUGCUAGAGUAACUGUUAGCGCCUUGACGGUAUCUAACCAGAAAGCCACGGCUAACUACGUG